rnacentral:rRNA from 1 species
UACGGAGGGGGCUAGCGUUGUUCGGAAUUACUGGGCGUAAAGCGCACGUAGGUGGCUUUGUAAGUUAGAGGUGAAAGCCCGGGGCUCAACUCCGGAAUUGCCUUUAAGACUGCAUCGCUAGAACGUCGGAGAGGUAAGUGGAAUUCCGAGUGUAGAGGUGAAAUUCGUAGAUAUUCGGAAGAAACACCAGUGGCGAAGGCGGCUCACUGGCCCGAUACUG